CUACUCGGCCUAUCUGCGCAGGCACUGGCGCCAGGCAAACUAAGGCCGCAUAGCACACCAUUAAGAAAGCGACUGCAACAGUGCCGUCCUUCGUUUCCCACCCCAUCUACCUGUGCGCGUCCGAGGAGGCGGCGAGAAGGUGCCGGUUGCGGGACGCUCCCGUUCGUUGUCACGGCGGCACCGGCACACGCUCGUUGGCUGUUGCAUCCACCAGGGAGCGCGGGUGGGUGGCGGAGGCGGAGGCGGGGGCCUGCGGCGACGAACACUUCACAUCUUUGCUACCUUUUCUCACCUUUUUUUUGUGUUGUGGCUUAGACGCAAGCCCCGCCGCAGCGUACUUGACACUUUCUCCGCCCCAACCCGGUGCACGCACCCACACUUGCAAUGGGCCAAGCCGCCUCCUACGCGGAGUCUUCGGUGCAGCGAGCCUUACUGCGCUUGAAGGAGGAGGAACAGGCAGACGAGGACGAGUUGCUCUGCGCCUGCGGCUAUAGGCGAGCGUCGCUGGCGUCCAGCACUGAGGAAUCGGCCGCAGUCGCUGCACGGUCAUCGCGGGAUGCAGAGCAGUCGGGGUCAUCGCCAUUGUCAGCAACUCGCUCAGCGGAUGUGCAGCUUCCGCCGCCGCCCGAGUCCCUCGGGCCGCUGGUCUCGCUGACACCUGAGUACUACACGCUUGACGAGCUGCGCCACGUGCUUCAAUACUUGCCAGAUCCGCUAUGGGUGAGCCUCUACCGCGUCUCGCUGCUGUACAUGCUGGACAACGACCGCGAUGGUCGCAUCAACUCUACCGACAUCAGCUUCUUUAUGGACUGGGGCAUCAAGACGGUGGGUCGCGAUGUCCAGCCGGACCAGCUCGCAGAGGUACUGCAAACAUAUGCGGCGCUGCAUUGCUGGCACUGCUGCCUUCACGUCGGCGAACGCAUCGAGGCUAUAAAAGCCGCAGCCGCAGCGCAGCCACAUCCUGGCCAUGGCGGCAACACUGGCGCUGGCGGGGCGGUGCGCACACGUCGACAUCACAUUUUGUCGCCCAGCGCCGUCGGCCCUUUGCCACUGCAUCAGCACCAUGAGCAGCACCACAGCCAGAGCGUGCCCUCCUUCAUGCUGUUUCACUUCCGCGAGGCCUUUCUAAACGCACCGGCUGGUGGGCCCGUGCCGCUUCCGGGCAAGAUGGAUAUCACGGCCACGAAGUCUAGUGAGAGCACUGUGUCGCCGACGCAGAGCCCCCCGUCGCUUGCGUCGUCCCCGUCGGUGUUCAGUCAGUCCAUCACGGAUAACGUUCGCCAUGCCGCGGCGGCGCACUUUGCGGAGUGGAUGCUUCGGCUUGUGCAGCACCAGGAGCGGGACCGUCGGCACGAGCGGCAGCGCUUCGAGCGUCGCGUGCGCAGCAUGGCAACCGCCUCCGACGUGAGGCUCGGUGCCACCGCCCGCCUGCGCCACUCGUCGUACGUAGCUCAACAGUCGCUGCGGCUACGCUUGUCGGCUACUUUGCUUCCCACUGAGGCCGCUAGCGCAGACCCGUCAGCCGACGGCGACGAUUUGGUCGUGUCCGUGUCACGGAAUAGCACACCAGGACAGCAUCGAUCAAUGCCGUGUGCCACCCUGAGUGCAGAUGCCGGUGCGGUGGCAGCGCUGUGGGAUGUGGAAGACGGGGCUCCGGAGUUGGAGGUGGUGGCCCCGGCGCCGUCACCGCAGUUGGCCACAUCGCUCCCCUUCAGCAAGAGUCCCACAGUGACGCCGAAGUCAAGGCCCCCCUAUUCCCACAGCACGCCCGCCACGUCGCUGACUUGCGUAAAGACGCCGCCGCAGCCAUCGUCGCCCUCAAGCAGCGUGACGCCGCUUAGCGUUCCGAUCGCGUUAGGUGGCGGUAACGGCUCCCCUAAAGGCAAUUCAUCGCCGCUACUGUCUAGCGCGAUCGGAACGCCCCCCACUUCAGCUGGUAGUCUUCCCGAUGGCCGCAGGAGGACCGCUGUUGGUGGCGCGCUCAUUACAAACACGUCACCGCCGCAUCAACCUUCGCGGCAGCACCCGUCAGCGGUGGCGCUCACCACGCGGUGGAAGUCCCUCGGUGGACCUCCGUAUGCUGCCUGCUUGAACACGGCCGUCUCGCCCGAAGACUUGGCUGCCGGCACGAGCGCCAGCGCGAACGGGGCCGGCGCCACCGAAGGGGACUUAAACGGCAGCGACUUCAGUAACGUCAACGGAUGGGUCAGCGCCUCGUCAAUAGCCUCGGCAACUGGUGCCGGCGGCGCUGCUGCUGCGGCUACAGCGCCGAGUGGUGGCUCCGCGGCGUCUUUAUUAGCACAUCAGGUGAGUGUGCUGCUGAUGGACGCGGAGGUGUUCUACGCAGAGCUGGAGGCGAACGGGUGGUGCACGAUCGGGGCGGUGGAGGAGGUGUAUCUAGACUUUGCCGUUGAGGAGUCUUACUGCUUGCCCUUCUGGUCCUUCUGCCGCUUGCUCAACAAGGCGUCCGCGGACGAGGUGCAGGCGGCGCUGGAGCUGCCCACAGACCAGGCAGUGGCAGUGCUUACGAGCGCAGUUGCAGUGGAGGAGUACAGGCGAGCGGCAGCGGUUCGGCAGCUGCAGCGGCACGCCACGAUGCAGCGCGAUGGAGGGCACGGUAACGGCAACCACUGUUACAGCAGUUCCCGUGGUGAUGGCUGGGCGCGCAACCUCCAGGUGAUUCCGAUGUUUGUGGUGUCCGAGUACACGUUUGUGGCGUUCGUCGCAGCGUUCAUACACGCCUACUGGGCGAUGCUGGCGAGCAUGGGUGUCGACCCCGUGACCUAGUCGACCUCAGCGACCCCCCUCCCUCCCCCACCGGCGUGUUUCGCCUCGGGUGGCCUUCAUGCACGCUGAAAGAAGUGCAACAAACUUCGAAGAAAGCUCGGACAGUCCGCAGAGAGGGCUAGAUGCGAAGGGCUGGUGCAAGGUAUAGUGGGCGCGCGAAGAGCAGCUCUUCAUUGCCCGCACGCGUCGACGACACGCUCACGGUUACGUUUCCCCACCCCCGCCUCUAUCUGCUGUCUGAUAUGCGCGAGGGUGUGCGUGUGCUAUGCUGCCAUUGCUUGUGUGAGCGUUUCCCCUGUUCAUCUUGUUAAGUAUUUCUUCACGGUGCCUGCGUGCCCCCUCUGCCCCUGCCCCCCUCCGCCGGUCCAAAUCCAUCACCCGGCACUGCCCUUCGAACGACUCUCUGCGUUAAAGCAGGCACGCGAGGAGGCAGAGAUGGGAGAGAGGCGGGCCGCGUAACACCCACGCACCCGCUCACAAGCGGCGCAUGCUUUCUUGCUGUUUCCUUUCUUCCUCUCAGGAUGAGUCCACUCCUUUGCCAGGCAACGCGAGGUCCACCUCCGCCCUCGAGCCUCCCCGGCGCUGCCACAGGCCACCCGUCGCGUGGCGCGGCGCAGCCCUGGGCGCACGCCGGUGCAGCAGUGCGCCGGCUCAGCCAUCUGAGAGCACGGCCUCGGCAGCGGACUCCACCCACACCCCACUCCGCAGGCAGCCUCACAGCCGCUCCCGUCAUGCCGGCCACCGCCCCCGGUGCACCCCCCUCGCGGUGGCGCAGGCUCCCUCCACCAGUGGGCAGCGAGGGCCGGGUGGCAGAUGCCUUCGAGCCACGCCGGCACUCGGCUUGUCAUGUCGGCGGCACAAGCGUGCUCGCGGUCGCUGGUCGCUCCGGCGCCGCGCCAUCCACGACCUGACCGCCGACAUCAGUCGCCGUGCAUCGCUCUGGCCCCCGCGCGUCGCCGGUGCUUGGCCCUGUGGCCACCAGAGGGGCGGCUCGGCAUUUGGCUGGGGAUAGGGCGGGGGCGGGACCGCCUGGCUUUCUCCCACAAGGAGAGAGGGAGAGUGGGGGGUGCACUGGGCCCUGUGAGGCCGCGCGCUGGGGCGCUGUGGCCCCCUCCCUCCCCCCGCUCACCUCACCAUCUCCGUCAUAAUGGGGCUCGCACACAGCAAGAAAAACCGAAAAGACGAGUCAUUGAUGCGUUCACCGCGCAUACCACACUCAAC
rnacentral:misc_RNA from 1 species